rnacentral:tRNA from 22 species
GGGACGUUAGCUCAGUUGGUAGAGCAGCGGACUUUUAAUCCGUUGGUCGCAGGUUCGAAUCCUGCACGUCCUACCA